CGGGCUUUCCCCAUGAAACAAGCAGUCUGCAAACAGAAAGCCUCGUAUUGCUAAUGCUUCCAGGAGGGAAGCUGGUCUGAGUACUAGAAUUAUCUUGGAAUUUUUCUCAACAUUCAUUCCUCUGUGCACCUCAAGAAUUGCCAAAGGUUCGGGCUGGCAGUUAUUUGCUCAGAAUAGAUUCCAAGAAAUCGAAUCAUGAGAUCGAAGGAGAUCAACAAGUUUGUGGCUCUUGAGACACAAUGCCAAAUAUCCUUCUAGAGAGCUGGCAGAUAUCAGAAACCUCUUCUCAGCUUUAGAGAUGCUUUUCACACAGACAGAAGAUUUCCUCUCCACACCAGAGGCAGCAGGAUAAGAUGUACCAUCAGACCGCACUGGCUUACCGUGGUGACAAGAAAGAAGAGGCCCUGACUGGGAGAUGGAUAACCAAGAUGAAACCAUGAGACAACAUUCUGGGCCAAGCAGUGAGCAAUGAGGAGACCCAGACCCCAGGUUCCUGGCUGUGUCUUUGGCUAAAAAGAAGAGGCAUUAAGACAGAUUCCCUGAGGAUACUUCAAGAACCCUGAAAUUGCCUUGCUCACAUACCACCACACUAGAGAUGUUUCAGAAAAGCAGCUUCCCUUUUGGUGCCUCCAAUCCAGAAUGACUCCAGGACCCACCGAGAGGUGAGGCAGAGAGGACAAGGCAAGGACAAAACUUCUUUGGACUAUUUUCUGCACAUCCCCAGCAGAGAUUGAUGAAUGCCUCUGAGUCAGCAAAAUCUCCAGUGGUGAAACAGAAAGCGUACACUCCACACAUUCAAGCAGCCAGGCCAGCCCACACGGAGAAGAGGAUGUUCACAUCCAGCCUGUUCAGUGGACCCCAUGGGGCAUUUCAAAGGCUAUUACAUUUCCAGGACCUUCUAUCACACCCCCUUUCUUCCAUCCCUGCUAAUAUUUGUGACUUUCCAGCUUUCUUCUCUGAAAUUAAAAUCAAACCUUUGCAAAGUGAAAAUCAGUUCAUCUGAGCUA
rnacentral:lncRNA from 1 species